rnacentral:sRNA from 1 species
CACUAGCCCUGAUAGUAGUGGAAAUCCUUUUUAUCCUUUCUUUAAGGAUAAAAAGAUUGAAACGAAUAGCAGGAUUAAGC